GACGAACGCUGGCGGCGUGCUUAACACAUGCAAGUCGAACGAUGAUCCCUUUCGGGGGUGAUUAGUGGCGAACGGGUGAGUAACACGUGGGCAAUCUGCCCUGUACUUUGGGAUAAGCCUUGGAAACGGGGUCUAAUACCGGAUAUCACUUCUUGCCGCAUGGUGGGGGUGAAAGUUACUGGCGGUACAGGAUGAGCCCGCGGCCUAUCAGCUUGUUGGUGGGGUAAGUGGCCUACCAAGGCGACGACGGGUAGCCGGCCUGAGAGGGCGACCGGCCACACUGGGACUGAGACACGGCCCAGACUCCUACGGGAGGCAGCAGUGGGGAAUAUUGCACAAUGGGCGGAAGCCUGAUGCAGCGACGCCGCGUGAGGGAUGACGGCC
rnacentral:rRNA from 1 species